rnacentral:rRNA from 1 species
GAGUUUGAUCAUGGCUCAGAACGUACGCUGGCGGCACGCCUAACACAUGCAAGUCGAACGAAGUAGCAAUACUUAGUGGCAGACGGGUGAGUAACAUGUAGGUAUCUGCCCUUUGGCCUGGAAUAACACGAGGAAACUUGUGCUAAUACCGGAUAAGUCUUUACGGAGAAAGCUUCAUGCACCAUUGGAUGAGCCUGCACUUGAUUAGUUUGUUGGUGGGGUAAUGGCCUACCAAGACUAUGAUCAAUAGCUGAUUUGAGAGGAUGAUCAGCCACAUUGAGACUGAGACACGGCCCAAACUCCUACGGGAGGCAGCAGUGGGGAAUCUUGCACAAUGGAGGAAACUCUGAUGCAGCGAUGCCGCGUGAGUGAAGAAGGCCCUUGGGUUGUAAAGCUCUUUCGUCGGGGAAGAAAAUGACUGUACCCGAAUAAGAAGGUCCGGCUAACUUCGUGCCAGCAGCCGCGGUAAUACGAAGGGACCUAGCGUAGUUCGGAAUUACUGGGCUUAAAGAGUUCGUAGGUGGUUGAAAAAGUUGGUGGUGAAAUCCCAGAGCUUAACUCUGGAACUGCCAUCAAAACUUUUCAGCUAGAGUAUGAUAGAGGAAAGCAGAAUUUCUAGUGUAGAGGUGAAAUUCGUAGAUAUUAGAAAGAAUACCAAUUGCGAANGCAGCUUUCUGGAUCAUUACUGA